UCCAAAUUGAAAUAGAAACUUGUGGUGCUACUCUUUGUUUUUUAAUGUAAAUUGGGUUUCCCUACUUUCAAUUCCAAACUAAAAAAUAAGCCACCAAACCAAGGCCAUUAGUAGGGCUGUGCAUAGUUCCUGGGGAAUCCGAACUGAACCGGAAUUGAAAAAAAACUGUUACUGUAUGAACCAAACCAAAAUUGUUUUACUGUUUUGGUUUGG
rnacentral:misc_RNA from 1 species